CCCCGCUCCUUUGUUCCCCUCCUUUUAUUCUCCUCGCUAAUGCGUGUCCCAUCGUCCCGGCCCGAGGAGGGCCAGACACAUCCCCUGCUCGGAUGGGCAGCGCCGCGCCGAGCCCCCCGCACGCCGGGCUCCCUGUGCGUGCUCGGCAUAACCUCUGCCCCCUGCUCCGCGCUCGUUUCUCCGUGAGGAGCCCCAGCGGGCUGAGCCCGGUUCUGGUGCUGGGGAGCUUUUCCUCCUGCUCUCCGAGUGCCACGAGAGAAGCUGGGUGUGGGUGGGCUGCGCACCCCCGGGAAGGGUUUAGCCGCUGGCAGAGCGUCCCCGGGGCGCGUGAACCACACGCCAUGGCCUUGCUCUGUGGUCUGCGGUCACCGUGCUGAGCUUGCCCCUGUUCCUGGCGAGGUGGUGCGUGUUCCCCGCCUGGUACGGGCCUGUGCCACCUCCUGUUGAGCCGCGUUCGCAGAUGGGUGCCCGUCCCGCUGGGUAACGCCACGCUCUCUGAGGAGGGAAGGCCGCAGUCGCUCUCAGUCAGCUCCGCCAUGACUUAAUGCUGCUUUUUGUCUUUGAAGCGCUGUAUAAACGCCCGUGCCUGCAGUACGCUAAUCCCUGCUUGACAAAAGGAAACUGGGAUAGAGAUGUUUGGUACCAUCCCCUCAUGGCCACAGCAGAGGAGCGCGUCAGAGAUAAAGCUGGCACAUGGCACAUCUCGGCUGGAGACCUGAGCUUCAACCACUCUGUGUCACAGCUGACAGAGCUUAUUUUCGGAAAGAUCAUAUGUGGUCACUAAUGUAGCUGUGGCGGCAGUGGCUAAGACAACUGUCGAAGACAAUCCUGCAGCCUCGGCUGUUCGCUGCGUGUUUUAGAGACCCAGGGUCAUAGCAGCAUUGUUACAGGAAUCAGAACUGAAAUAGUUGCACAAGAAUAAUAAUAAUAAAAAUUUAAAAAAAAGGAAGAAGAAAUUGACUGUUUACUUCUUUAUCCAGUGAAGUGAUCUCAGCUGCGACAUGAGACCCAAGAGUGGAGCGAGGGCAUAACAGGGCUGUGUGGGCUUCACUGGGGCCAGGAAGGUCACAUCCCUGUGCGAAACCAGCGCGGGACGACGCGGCACUCGGCAAGUUACAGAUGGGGAGCGCUCCGUCCCUAGCUCUGAGGUCUGUAGCCCCCAUCGUUCACCUGCCGAGUUCCAGCGUCCAUCCGCGCGUGGGCUUCCCGUUGGGCGCGCGCGGCCCUCGUCGCGGGAGGCUGCGUGGCCGGGACCUACCUUCCUUUCCUCCUUGGUGCUGCUGGAGAGCUUGUGCACGCCGCUGGCCGUGGCUGCGGCGGUCAUUGUAAUCCAGGCUGGCCGCCCCGGGACGCUGCGAGGACGGGGACGCGGAGGAGGCACUCGGGCAAUGACCUACUGUUGCUCCUCGUACUCCGCAUGCUGAGUCCUCUCUCCGAAGGAAGCUGUUCCUGGGCAGGAGGACAUCACACAGACCUGGAGCAGCCCUUACUGAAGAGGGGCCGGUGUGAGAGCGCUGUAAAUCACAAGCACUCUGUACUGAAUUCCCGUGUUGCCCAAGGGCGGUUUGCUCCUAGAGCAUUACAGCGAGAGAAGACUGUGAGGAGGAGCAGUGCAUGCCAGUGGGGAGGCUGGGCUGGCAGGGCAGGAGGUGCAGGCAGCGUCCAGGCAGGUAGGAGGGCUCCCUGAGCAGAGGCACGCCAGGCAGCGCUGCUCACAGAUUGCUCGCUGCUAGGUCGUCCAGAGGGGACCGGGGCUGCAUUUCCAGCUUGGCCUUGGUCCAGGACAUUAUACCCAUGGUCUGCCAUCUCUGACAGGCGCAGCAGGGUCUGUGUGGGGACCAUGUGUCCAGCAGCCCGCCCAGGCCAGAAUAGCACUGCAAACAAGCUAGGCAGAAAAGCAAAGUCUGUACCUGGGGUGUGGAGAAGAGUAUUUGCAGUCAUUUAUGACUACAAUGAGAGUUGCCUGAUAGCACAGCCCUGAUGCAGCAGAUGCCAUCCAAGAUUGGGCACAGGAGUGGUGGUGUCCAUCACAUAUGGUCCUUCGUGGUGUCUUUGUUGUCCUUCAGGCAAGUGUUUUGGAAGAGACCUUGCUAACACUGGAGACUCCCUUCUUCUCAGCCUUGUCACCUCUGGUGAAGACCAUGGUCUUCAUGAAGAUCUUCUAUGUGAAGACGUUACCAGCUUUGAUGCCUAUGAUCAAGCGGUGGCCAGUCUGGACAAUGUCCGAAGCAAUUCAUCAUGGUAUAGAGGUUCACCUGCUCCAAAAGCAUUUAUAGGUGGACAGAGAGACAAUAUACAUGGCAUAGGAUAGUGCUACAUGGAGUAUUUCAUCAUUAGGGAAGUCCAGCUCCAGAAGAGGUAUUGGGCUUCUCUAGAAAUGCUGUUGGCGUGUCUCAAUCCAGCUCCUUUACUGAAUGCUCAAACCUCACUAACCCCAGCUCUGCAUCCUCGGUAUCAGAUGACUGUAUCAUCUUCAGAAGUGGACUCCUGGUAUAGGAAAUAAUUACAAGGCUGGUACCAGCUGAGUAAUUUUCAACUCUUCUUUCACACACACCCCUCCAGCCUUUGUGUUAAGGAUCAGCUGAUGUUCCUGCUGUUGCUCAACACGUCUCCUGUCUGGCAGGUUAGCAGAGCUCCUGCCUCUGGAGGAAGUCUUAUCUCAUGCUUUUGCGGCCAGAAAGCUGCUGGUUGCAACACGGACUCUUAGGCCAAGAGUGAGUUAUAGGAAGAAGAAAAUCUGAUAAGCUGUGUGGGUGGCGACAUGCUGAUAAGGUCUAACCUCUUGCUUGUGCUGCAGCAGUGGAUGGGGGCAAAGAGCCAAGCUUGGUGGAAAGAGUAGGGGGCUUCGAGGGAGAGCUUGAAGCAGUUCUUGAACUUUCCUCGUUGGGCAUCCCAGGAUUUGUUUUGUUCAGAAGGGCAGCUCUGGGCUUUUUCACACUCCGUGCGUGUCUAACUUUGCCAGAUGUCACCUGAUAACAGGCCUCAUCUAUAAUGCAGCAAGUGCUUGGUUUAUCCAGCCAGCUUCACUUUCACAGCAAUUUCUGCACGUGUGCCUUGCUCCCCAGAUGUCAGAAACCAGAGCUUGGCACCCCACAGCAGCCUCUGCACAUCCCACACAGCCUGUUUCUUCUUGGCUUUUUGGUUCCUGAGGCUGCAGAAGGAGCUGGGGUCAUUUCACCUUCAUGAGACAAGUCUCUCUUCUGUGACUGAGUAAAUUCAGCUUUCGUCCUGGCUUGGCCACAGGCCAAGAGCAGCUUUCUUUUUAUAGCGCACGUGUAUACACGUGCUGACACCACAUCCUGAACCCCGGCACAAAACCCCUUGUCAGCACGACCGAGGCAAUGAGGAUGGUCAUCGCUCGUUCUCUGCAGGAAGAGCAUCUCGCAGCCCCCACACAAGCGCCUUGUGCUUGGAGUUCCAUGCGUCGGCUUCUGCUGCAGGGCGCAAAAGGAUGGCCAGGAAGGCAGUGGGCUUAUAAACAGCACUUCCUCCAUGCUGCUCGCUUCUGGUUCUGCAGGGCUGUGAUUGCGGCACCGGAGGAUGUGAGGAAAUGUGUGGUUAGGGCUUUUGCAGCUCUCGGCUCAGUUUCACGCAGCCCCGCUGGCUUCGGGGGCAGCAGAAAAUACAAGAGCUUAGGGUGGGAGGGCGUGAGCUGCAGGGCAUCUGGUCUUUGCCAGCCAAAUCCAGCCUGGAUUACAUAUAAAAUCAUGUUCUGGUCUUUAAGGUCAUUUUUGGUGUCUAUAUGUAUUUUUAAUUAAUUAAUUUUAUUCUAGUUUUAACCAAAUAGAGCAAAAAGCGAUAAAAAUUCUUGUACUGUCGUUUUACUGGUUUUAUACUGCUUUUUAUUUUAUAAAUAGUCUUUUUUUUUUCC